rnacentral:lncRNA from 1 species
GGAAAACUACGACCCCUAGAAUCUUUGAUGUUGGAUCGGAGCCAUGUGCCUGAGUUCUGGCCUAGGAAAUGUGAACACAAAUCAUGUGUCACCCCUGAGAGAAGCCAGUGAGGAUCAUCCAUCUCUCCAUUCUCUCACCACAGCAACUUUGGAAGCUGUGGCAUUAUCAUCAUAUGGAAAGAGCUUGGAAUGAGAACACAUGGACACAGGAAGGGGAACAACACACACUGGGGCCUGCGCGGAUUCCCAAACCAAUGGACCAUACAGGCUCAGGAAUCGACAUAAAUUUUCUAGUGCCUUGUGACACAUUCGUGUAGUCUCUCAAAAAUAGGUUGAAUGAAAUUAGUCUUUUGAUGAUGAAUAUUAGAUCAUCAAGCUUGCUAUUAAUUUGAACAUGAAUGGUGUACCAUGACAAGCAACACCACUCUGCUUUUUAUUUUAAUAAAGUUCUCAAACAUACUGAAUAACAUAUGUGUGUGUGUGUGUGUGUGUGUGUGUGUGUGUGUAUACAGAGAGAGAGAGAGAGAGAGAGAGAGAAAGAAAGAGAAUGCAAGACAAGUUUUUUUUCUCUUUGGAGAGGGAGUCUUGCUCUAUCACCCAGGCUGGAGUGCAGUGGUGCAAUCCUGGCUCACUGCAACCUCCACCUCCCGGGUUCAAGUGAUUCCUGUGCCUCAGCCUCCCGAGUAGCUGGGAUUACAAGCGUGCACCACCAUGCCCAGCUAAUUUUCUAUUUUCAGUAGAGACAGGGUUUCACCACACUGGCCAGGCUGGUCUUGAACUCCUGGCCUCAAGUGAUCCACACGCCUCAGCCUCCCAAAGUGCUGGGAUUAUAGGCAUGAGCCACCAUGGCUGGCUAAAUUUUUAUAUUUUAUCACAAAUCAUUAUAUUAGAUAGAGUGACAUGGGUUGCUGUAACAAAUGGCCCCAAAAGAGCUCCCAGUGGCCAAAACUGAAACGAUUUGAGAAAAAAAUAAAAGGUAGUAUUAGAUUAUAAGCCUAAGUAUGGAAUAAAUAUCCAUGCAUCUAUAGUGAUAUGAAUAAUUAAAUAAAGAAAUAGGGGAAAGGAGACAACUCUCUCAUGAAGAACAAUUUUAUAUAAUGUAUUACAUAGUUUAUCGCCAAGGAGGUGCGACAUAACUCCCCACUCCUAAGUGUGGGCUGCAUAUAGUGACUUUCUUCCAAAGAUACGGUGUAGGAAAUCAGGAGAGAGUGACUUUACAGUGGAGAAACCUGACAAACAUUACCUCACCCACAUUGUCUAGAUGAACAUCACAAGGUAAGCAAUGAUAAGCUUAUGUUGAUAGUAUGUACCCUUGAUAUAAUAUGAUGAAAAUGGCACUUUAUUUCUGUAUUCUUCCUCGAAAAAACUUAUAACCACAGUCUAAAGAUGAUAAAACUAUCAGAUAAAUCCCAAUUUUAAAAAAGGCAUGACCAGUACUCCUCAAAGCUGUCAUGAUCACCAUCUAACAAGGAAAAUCUGAAGACCUGUCACAUCAAGAGAAGCCUAAGGCAACAUGACAACCAAAUGUAAUGUGGUAUCCUGGAUGAGGUCCUGGCACAGGAAAAGGACAUUAAGUACAAACUAAAGAACCUGUAUAAAAUAUGGACUUUAGUUGACAUUAGUGUAUUAAUAUCAGUUUAUUAAUUGCAAUCAAUAUACCCUACGAGUGUAUAUUAGGGGAAACUGGGCGCAGGGUAUAUGGGAAGUCUAUACUAUCUUCUCAAUUUUUCUGUAAAUCUAAAAUAGUUCUAAAC